rnacentral:tRNA from 1 species
AGGGGUUUAGGUUCAUUCAGACCAAAAGCCUUCAAAGCUUUAAGAAAGUGAUAUCACUUAACCCCUG